UAAAAAAGCGGGGGUCGUCGGGAGAGCGGGGUGGGUUUGAUAAAAAAAAUUGAUCACGUAAGGCCUUUCCAGUAUCUAUAGAAUGAGCACUGUGAACUAUCUGCUUCAAAAAGAUAGUUAUAGUUAAGUCAACCUCGAUCUUGUACUAAGGUACACUGAACACCAACCCAAUCUCGACGAAAAAAAGAAAACGACAAGAAGUACUUAUUCACCGACAAAAGAAAACAUUGAAGCCUCUGAAGCGUCUAUAAGCUGUUUAGAACCCGUUUUUCCUCCCUAACCGAUCGCACUUUCUCAGAGCCAAGAUGGUCAGUCUCUUAUAUAAGAUGCACGGGCCCAUUACGGGUUGACCAAGAGAGACUGCCAUGCGCAUACUCGCGAUAGAGGCGCCACACGUUUAGCAAGCUUCAUUCAGAUAGGAAAGGCUGCUGUUCUUUCUUAAGUAAGCUUCAGACCAUAGUUCAAGGCGGGUGCGGCAUCUUGGCUAACCUCUCUGAAGCAGCAGCCUUCUCUGGCAUCUCAAAACUUGUCUAAGGCAUGGAGUUGUCAGACAAAGAACCUCUUCUGAAGCAGCUGUCUCUGAAGCGAAUCCUAAUACGUAAACAAGCAGUAGGAGUAGGGUUUUAGUUAGAAGAACUUGCUUCUAAGCAUCUCAAGCUACCGCCCCUUUGAAUCUCAAGAAUUUCGCUUGAUCGCCUUGUACUGAGGCCCAUACCUUAGCUUAGAUCGAUCCCAUUCCCCUUAUAGCGUUGAGCCUUGAGCCCAUACCGAUUGAGUAUUGAGCACUGAUCUCGACGAUGCAUUCUAUCUAUGCUCGAAGACCUGUCAACUUCGAAACCAGUAUAGUCGUAUCCAAAACUUGAUUCUAUCAGUCGGCUCUUGCCCGAAAUCAAACUUCUUUCUUGCCAAUUCGUAAGUGCUCUAAGUCUGUUGUUGACUAACGGGGAAUCUAUUAGUCUUUUUUAGGAAGCUAAAGUGCUUACCUCUUUUCCUAUCGUCUGGUACAAGUCCUCGUUUUAUUGGUACAUCUUUUAUCUCCCCAUCUUCCCCUAAGUUCAGAAACAUCCAAUUAGAGAGGGCUGUAGAUCCAGUUACUUAGGAGAGCCUUCCACGCGUAAAUCCGAUCCUAUCCUGCCCUCUAGCUCCCUUCUCCCACUGAAAAGAACGCAGUAGCGAGUGAAAUAGAGGUUAAUAGUGGCGGGUGGAAGUAUUAUGCAUAGAGGUAUACAGGAGUGAUCUACUAACUAAUAUCGCCUAGCUAUGCCGGUAACUAGCUCUAGCCAGGAGCUGCUAAUCGGUAAUAGCAGUAAUUUCGGUAUAAUGACGAGAAUAAGUGAACGAGGAGUGUCUUGAAACCCUGUUAUUGCUAAACGUGGUACUUCCCUAAAGUAGAUACAGCAAGUGGAUCAAGCAAAGCUAGUGAUAUCUCGGGUCGGUCUGGUCUAAUCGAAGUCAACUGACUCACAUGGAAUACGGGGUGAGUUUUCACCGAGCUGGUCGCUUGAGUCUAUAUAUAGGCUACCUCUCCUAUCCGCUUCUCUACAAGGUCUACUUUCUUCUUUCUUUAGACCGGGCCAAGCCUUUAGGCUGUUUAAGUAGGUUGGGCUAGGUCGUUGUGCUCCUGCCACCUUUUGGCAAAGUAGGCGGAUUUUCCUCCUGUCGCAAUGGUGUGGGGCGUCAGAGGCUGUUGCCCCGUGGCCAACUCGAAGG
rnacentral:lncRNA from 1 species